CCUAAGCCUAUCUUGCCACUCAUCUCCCUCAACCUGAGAAUCCGCAAGAUUUUAUGCUCAAAUCUCUGCCACCCCUAUCAAUCAUCUGUGAACAUCAAUAGUCCCCUAGCUUCUCUAAAAUGACUGAAUUCAAACGUUCACACUUCCAAAUCUCUUGAAAACACAAAAUAUAAUUCAAAAUCUGCGAUUCAGAUUCAAAUGGCUCUUAAACUUUCUCAAAACUACACCCUUUGGAAAAUCUGUCUAGAGGGAGUCGAUAGCGGAGUAUAAGAUUCAAAGCACUAGUUUGCUGCCCUAGAGAAGUUUCAGGUACUCACGAUAGCAGACGUUUAGUAAGAUCUCUUUUCAUCAGCAGUUGGUGAGACCUCCUUGCUUCCGAACUGGCAUGGCUAUAACUGAUCAAGAUAUAUAGGUAAGGAAUGAAAAAAUCUGAGUUGAAUAAGUUGUGUAUGGAUGAGAAUAUGAUCAAUGUUGAAGUGCGAUGCAAGUAUGGAAUCUUAUUGAAAAUAUAGACCUCUUGGUUCGAUCGCAUUCUGAGAAGUAGAUUUUGGUCUUGUCCUCACAAUGAGGCCAUGAAUUGCAAAUUUUUUGAUGGAGAGAGUUGACGAAAGUUCUCAAUUUAUUCUUCCAAUAUUGGUGAAAAAGAUUAAGGAGUUAGAAGAACAAUACGAGUGUAUUCAGAUGCAAUUGGAACAACUUGAUAAUUCCAACAUGAGUUCAAUGGACAUUGGAUAUUGAACAUUCGAAAACAUAAUUUUUUUUUGGAUGAAGUUGAAAGUCUUCAAAUUCGGUAUGAAAAUCCCAACAUCAAUUCAAAAAAAGAAGCAUGGCAAUGUAAAAGAAAUUUGUGAUUUGAAAGAGAAUCAUAUGAAAAUGUAAGGGAUGAAAAAGAAGAAAAGAAGUUGUCGAUUUUUUGGCAAAUUCCUUUGAUGUUUGAAGUUUUGUGUCUUUGUUAUAUUUGUUAGUUUCUAAUCCAAGUAUGUAAGUUGAAGAGAAAUCAAAUGAAAUUGUCAUAGUAAGAUAUGUAAUAGAGCA